rnacentral:rRNA from 1 species
GACGGUACCUGACCAAGAAGCCCCGGCUAACUACGUGCCAGCAGCCGCGGUAAUACGUAGGGGGCAAGCGUUAUCCGGAUUUACUGGGUGUAAAGGGAGCGUAGGUGGCAUGGCAAGCCAGAAGUGAAAGCCCGGGGCUUAGCCCCGCGGAUUGCUUUUGGAACUGUCAGGCUGGAGUGCAGGAGGGGCAGGCGGAAUUCCUGGUGUAGCGGUGAAAUGCGUAGAUAUCAGGAGGAACACCGGCGGUGUAGACGGCUUGCUAGACCAUAACUGACGCUGAGGCACGAAAGCGUGGGUAGCAAACAGGAUUAGAUACCCUUGUAGUCC